GACGAACGCUGGCGGCGUGCUUAACACAUGCAAGUCGAACGAAGUGGCGAACGGGUGAGUAACGCGUAAUCAACCUGCCCUUCAGAGGGGGAAAACAGUGGGAAACGACUGCUAAUACCGCAUACUGAAGGAGGGGAUGGCGUCGGAUUAGCUAGUGGGAGGGGGAACGGCCCACCAAGGCGAUGAUCAGUAGCCGGUCUGAGAGGCUGAACGGCCACAUUGGGACUGAGACACGGCCCAGACUCCUACGGGAGGCAGCAGUGGGGAAUCUUCCGCAAUGGACGAAAGUCUGACGGAGCAACGCCGCGUGAGUGAUGACGGCCUUCGGGUUGUAAAGCUCUGUUAAUCGGGACGCGGUACCGGAAUAGAAAGCCACGGCUAACUACGUGCCAGCAGCCGCGGUAAUAC
rnacentral:rRNA from 1 species